CCAAAAUGCAAGAUCCAAACACCCACACUACAGAAGUCACAAAACCCCUGUAAACCCUAAUUUAAAAAUCCAAACUUUCUUGUUUUCUUCUCUAAUCCCUCAACUCUGGCUCACUCAACUUCAGCAAAAUGGCAUCUCUUUUCCAAAAACUAGCAAGAAACCAAUCCACCACAAGACUCAUCACAAGUUUCAAGAACCCAAUUUUAAGUCACCCCCCAGUCUUGAAUCAUCUUUCUCAACUCAACCCAACUCACCUCACCCCAAUUAGUCCACCGAGUCAACCCAAAACAGAGGACCCAUUUUCUCAUCAAUCCUUACAUUUCUACCCAAGUUUCUCAUUUGGGUGUUUUCUAAACCCCAUUUCUUUAUCUGGGUUGGUUCAAUCUGAGAUUCAAGUAGACGCUGUUUCGGAUGAUUCGGGUAUGAUGUGGGCUGAUAGUGUGAAGAAGAAGCGUAAGAGGAAGAUGAAUAAGCAUAAGUUAAAGAAGCUGAGGAAGCGGCUCCGGAGAAAGACUUAGUUUUGGCGACGAGCUUCAUGAGGCAGCUGAAGACGCCUAUAGUGUUUGUGCUUGCCUUCCAGAAAUGUAGUAUUCAUACUGGCUACGAUGGAAAUAGGCGAGGCAUGAUUGUAGUAAUAAUCAAGAUCUAUGUCUAGGUAAUUUAUUUAAGUAAAUUACUAGGAUCAGGUACCUACUGUUGUGUGCAUAAAUUAUUUUAAGUGUGUGGUGCAUCUAAAUGCAAUAUAUUUGUACUUGGACUUAAGUUUAAAUAUGU